UUCACCAAGGAGAGAUUGGAGAAGAAAUGAGUGACCUUGGAGUAGUGGGAUUGCAAGAUGUACCCCCCAAGGUGGCCGGCCUCUUUAGAGAGAAAUGGAGAGACAUGUUCUCUCCAAUUUUCUCCAAAACAAACCCUAAAUGAAUUUUGGCUAUAAAGUCAUAUUUAUACCAUUAUUCAUUUGAGUGGCAAACUUGUAAAUAAGUCCAAGUUCACUACCCUUAACAAUAUGGCCGGCCAUUAGGAUAUUUUGGACUAAUUGGGCCUUUGUGAAUCAUUAUUCAUUAAGUU
rnacentral:lncRNA from 1 species